AAGACAUGGGUGCUGGGUUAGUUCCUGCAGCUGCUGUAAAAAGUCGCUACACACUCAUAGUUUAAACAAUUUAGUGUUCUUACAGUUCUGGAGGCCAAAAGUCCUGAAAUCAAGGUGUGAGCAGCACUGCGUUCCUCUGGAGGCUCUGGGGGAAAAUCUGUUCCCAGCCUUUUCCAGCUUCCAGAGGGGCCCGUCUUUCUGGGCUCGUGCCCUUCCUCCAUCCUCAAGGCCCACAGGGCAGCACCUUCAGUGACCAACUGUGACUUCUGCUUGCCUCCCCACACCUUUCUCCUGCCUCCUCCUGUAUGGACCCGUGUGACAAACCCAGAUAACCCGAUAAUCUCCAUCUCAAGAUCCUUAACUUAGUCAUAUCUGCAAAGCCCAUUUUCCAAGUGAGAUAGCGUAUUCACAGAUCCUGGGGAUUAGGAUGUAGGGGGCCAUUAGGGACCUUUGGGGCCAUUAUUCUGUGCACCAGUAUUCUAGGAAAAACGAACAAGAUUAGGGCACUGUUCUGACAGGUGAAGCCAAGACGAAAGGUUUCUGAACACCAUCAUGAUGAACAGCAUAAGAAGGAGGAACAAGGUUGCUCCUGAGGCCCUUUCAGCCAUGCACUCACCCCCACUCCCCAGCCUUGCAUCUUCAGGGUGCACCCAGGCUCCUCAGUGAGCUGCAGCGUCAGUAGAGUGGCCCUGGCCCGAGGAUUCCUCAGCCAAGGAAAGCAGGUGAAUAAAUGAAUCAUUGUAAUUUUAUAUUGAAAAUCUAUAACAGUUACACACAAUGCGGCUAGGAAGUGCCAGAGAGGAAAAGACAAACCCUGCCUGGGGAAGUGGGUAAUGCUGAAAUAAGUUUUGAUGCAUGCUCAGUGUAGAAAAGAAGACAAGAAUUCUAGGGUAAAGCAAUCCUGUUAAACACACAAGGACAAAUGGGAGAACAUGAUUUUUGAGAGAUCUGUGAGCAGCUGGGUGUGGCUAAAACCUAAAGGGUCCUGACUGUAGAUGAGGAGAAGAAAGAAGACGGAGAAGGAAAAUGGAUUCUGAUGUGAAUGUCUCUGUAGGAGGCCGUACGGGGGUUCGGUCUUCUCCUGCAGACAAUGCAGAGACCUUGGACAUUCAUAAUCAGAGCUAUUUUGGAAAGAUCUCCCUCAGAAUACUCUGACAAGCAUUGUCCGUAUCACGGCCUUCUGUGCACAUGUGUUUCUUCCUAUACUGAUUUGUAAACUCGUUGCAAGUCAUGGCUGCAUUUGUCUUAGUUUUCCUUCCCUGUAACUUAAGUUUUCAAAAAAAUUUUUAUAGUUAAAUUAGGUUGGACUGAAUUGAGACCACAAAAUUCUAUGAAAUGAUGGAACUUUUAUGUAACAGGCAUAUUUAUAUUAAAGAUAUAUUUAAG
rnacentral:lncRNA from 10 species